UGACGUGUACUGAACACAAUAUAUUAUAUAAUGUAAACAACUACCUGAGAAACAGCAGAUACAGCAGAUAAAUUAAUUAUAGGCCAUUACUUUUGUAUCGUUUAUUGCAUUUAUGGAGGGAGAGGUGUAUGCUGGGUAAUGGCACAGCUAGCGACCGGGUGACUUUAUUCACCCGCUUCGGCUGUUAUCAGUCCAUACAAUGGGCGUUAUUAGCAGAAAUCAGUCCCAUAGAUAUGGGCCAUCUCCUGCUAGAUUGUUCAGAAGGUUGUUAUCAUCCAUCCAGAUGGAGGAUCACUGACAGGAGCGUGGGAAGACUCCAGAAUCCACUCUGGCUGGAAUCCGGUGGAUACAGCAGUGUUACAGGUACAGCACGUGAUAUUAAGGGCAGGCGGUCAUCACUGGGGGAAGUCAAGAAGCAGACGUACUUCCAAGAGGGAGCUGCAGUGAGGACACAGCCUGGUCACUGAGGUCAGAGGAGGCGCUGAAAGGUUUCCCUAAUAGUUCCUGGUGAAUCAAAGCAGAACCAUAAAGGUUGCUGUACUGCAUGAUGGCCUUACCCCUGAGCAGUCAUCCUGUUAAAGGAGGAACCAGUUAGAAGCUGUUUUCAAAGUAGCUGAGCAGAUUUCAUCUCAACAGACAAAGCCGAUGGCAGAAGAUGUUUGGAGAAGAGCUUCACGCCGUCUACUGACAAGAUCAAAGCAGCUCGUGCUCUUUCUGCUUCCAUUCUGAUGGCAAGAAGAAGAAGAAGAAGAAGACUUCAGCGAAGUGGCGUUUAUGGUCUCAGUGGACAGUCAUGGUCACAUACUGCAUGUGGUUUUAAAAGCAACAUGUCUGUUCACCACAACAAUCGAGAUGUGUAAUAUCAGUGCAGCUACGGUUUGUUCUUGAACAUCAGUU